rnacentral:rRNA from 1 species
UAGGGAAUCUUCGGCAAUGGACGAAAGUCUGACCGAGCAACGCCGCGUGAGUGAAGAAGGCUUUCGGAUCGUAAAACUCUGUUGGUAGAGAAGAACGUUGGUGAGAGUGGAAAGCUCAUCAAGUGACGGUAACUACCCAGAAAGGGACGGCUAACUACGUGCCAG